GAUUAAGCCAUGCAUGUGUAAGUAUAAAUAGUUAACUUUGAAACUGCGAAUGGCUCAUUAUAUCAGUUAUAGUUUAUUUGAUGAAGAAUACUAAUUGGAUAACCGUAGUAAUUCUAGAGCUAAUACAUGUAUAAAGUCUUGUAGACUGCAUUUAUUAGAAUGAAAACCAUAGGUUUCGGCCUAUUCGUGAGUAAUAAUAACUAAUCAUAUCGUAUGCGAUUUGUAACGAUGUGUCUUUCAAGUUUCUGCCCUAUCAGUUUUCGAUGGUAGUGUAUUGGACUACCAUG
rnacentral:rRNA from 1 species